ACCUGGGCAAGAGCAGCCUGUUGCCAGAGGAACCGGUCACAAGCUGCUGGCCCUGUACAAAUAUUAGAUAGUAUCUUUGAUCCUGAUAACAAACUACAAGCUCAUUGCAGAUGGGUAACAGUCUGUGGAUUGGCCGUGGUCUGAGGACACCUCUUUGAUAGCAUCGAUUCAGGCUGUUGAGAGGUGGAUGCUGGCGUUGCAGAACCUCUCAGAUUGCCAGAAGGAACAAGGCUCCUGCAUCCCUGUUCCCCUAAGCAGGUACUUCUGGACACCAAGUCAAUUAACCUCAAGAUGUCCCAGGCCAGGCGCGCUGCGCUGACUUACGGCUGGAUCCCUCCUUCCAUCCCAGUCUGUCUCCCAGGACCUUCAGGAUGUACAUUGUUAUUAAAGUGUCCCCGCCAGUGGCCCCUGAUAAGCAUACAGAGCUGUGGGGUCGGGGUUGGAGUGGGGCGACCUGGGAGAGAGAAGUAUGUACAGGUAGAGGCCCGCCUUCUUUGAUUCCAACUCUAUACAAAACUUGGCCCAAGCAUCACCUCCUGCAGAAAGUCAUCCCGGGCCUGCAGCCAGACUGAGGGCCCCCGCCUGCGCUGCUGCAUCACAGAACAGGUCUCCCUGCAUUCACAUGGAACAGUUGACAUAGUAAAUUCGAAGGUGGUGCCAGCGCCUCUGGGGGUUGGAUGUGGUGUCACCUGCCUUGGUUCGAGGGUUUGACCAGAUUUCAGGGCUUGUCUGGGUGCCCCUGCGCAGGGUACAGUCUGUACAACUCUGAGCAGUGGCCCAGGUAGUUGGAGCUCCGGGCCCAUCUCUGGCAGACUUCAGGGGACUGGGGAGCAGGAAUUGUGUCUGGGACGUUGCAUCUUGAGUACAGAGGUCUCCGCCUGGUUGAGCAACAGAAAACACUGGCUUAAAAAAAUGUAGACACUCUGGCUCCAAUUUUAGGAAUUCUACCUCCAGAGGUCUGACAAGGGUCCUGAGUCUCGAAAACUUUUUUUUUUUUUGAAG
rnacentral:lncRNA from 1 species